rnacentral:rRNA from 1 species
UACGAAGGGGGCUAGCGUUGUUCGGAAUUACUGGGCGUAAAGCGCGCGUAGGCGGUGAUCUUUGUCAGAGGUGAAAGCCUGGGGCUCAACUCCAGAAUUGCCUUUGAAACGGGAUUGCUUGAGUCCGAGAGAGGAUGGCGGAAUUCCUAGUGUAGAGGUGAAAUUCGUAGAUAUUGGGAAGAACACCGGUGGCGAAGGCGGCGCUCUGGACCGAGACUGACGCUGAGGCGCGAAAGCGUGGGGAGCAAACAGG